UUCAACGAAUCGAUUUAUCAUAUAAUCGAUACUCUUCUGUAGGUAAUCGUUCUUCACAUUAUCGAAAGACUAAAUUUUUUAUACUGGUUUAUUUAUUCAGUUCUGUAUAUGUGACCUUUUUAAAUUAACAAAUAGAAAUAUAUUAAUUAAUAUAGAAAUAUGAAUACAUAUUAAAAGUAAAUGAACGUUGAUCAUCGAUUAGCGGAAAAAAAUAAAAGAUUAGAAUGUUAAGACGAAUCGACUAUCUCAUACAUCACAGACUAUCCUGCUUCCGCCUUUGUCUUCCUCAUAAGAGAAGAGGACAGAGCGAAAGUUAUUCCUGCUGGGGUCAGUUCUAUUGCAACAAGUGUUCCUAAUCGAUACUUCGAUGAAAUUAUAAGAAUCCAUUGCUGCCACUGAUAACAGAAGUACAACAUUUCUUAAAGCGCUUUUUCAUCACUAAGAAUCAUUGUCACAUUAAAAAUUACAUUAACGAUAAUGUUAUUUAUUUGCAGGAAGAUGAAUACUUUAAUUUUAUCUUUAAAUUUCUGAAAUACAAUAAUUUUAGAAAUGUACAUAAUUAUUACUAAAGUAGUAUAACAAAUAUUACACUAAAUAGGGAAUAAAGCAGUCUGAAUCUCCAAAAUGUAUUAAAUUAUGAUUAUUCCAUAAUUCAAGAAGCUACAUUAAUAUUACGAAUUUAUACUUAAAAUAAUCAAUAUGUAAUCUCAUAUAAUUAAUAUUAUUCUAUUUCAGCAUAGAAUGAUUUAUGUACAAAAAAACAAAGCUCGAUUAUUUCAAAGAAGAAACUCAAUUCGUGAACAACAGGUGCUCAACGGUAAAGGAGAUGGAAAGUACAAGAGGGAUAGAAUGGAAAAUGCGCAGGUGUUUGUCGAUUCACGAACACUCCACGCAAUUCGACAUUAUCUGGGGGAAAAAUCUUUUUAAAUCGGAACUUUACUGAAAGUUGUUGAGCUGUUCGAUAUAGGGUGUGCAACAAUAUAGGCUUGUUGAUAGUAAGCUGCACAAGAGGUUCCGACUGUUUCUCUAUUAUUUUAGGUGAUAUUAAUUCUUUCCCUCUCUGCUUCUUUCUUGUCCACUUCUAGCGAUGGGAACGACCUUAUAUUCACCACUUAUUUUAAAAUAAAUUUUAUUUUCACACAUUUAACA